rnacentral:rRNA from 1 species
AGAGAGCUUGCUCUCGGGUGAUGAGUGGCGGACGGGUGAGUAAUGUCUGGGAAACUGCCUGAUGGAGGGGGAUAACUACUGGAAACGGUAGCUAAUACCGCAUAACGUCGCAAGACCAAAGAGGGGGACCUUCGGGCCUCUUGCCAUCAGAUGUGCCCAGAUGGGAUUAGCUAGUAGGUGGGGUAAUGGCUCACCUAGGCGACGAUCCCUAGCUGGUCUGAGAGGAUGACCAGCCACACUGGAACUGAGACACGGUCCAGACUCCUACGGGAGGCAGCAGUGGGGAAUAUUGCACAAUGGGCGCAAGCCUGAUGCAGCCAUGCCGCGUGUAUGAAGAAGGCCUUCGGGUUGUAAAGUACUUUCAGCGGGGAGGAAGGUGUUGUGGUUAAUAACCACAGCAAUUGACGUUACCCGCAGAAGAAGCACCGGCUAACUCCGUGCCAGCAGCCGCGGUAAUACGGAGGGUGCAAGCGUUAAUCGGAAUUACUGGGCGUAAAGCGCACGCAGGCGGUCUGUCAAGUCGGAUGUGAAAUCCCCGGGCUCAACCUGGGAACUGCAUUCGAAACUGGCAGGCUAGAGUCUUGUAGAGGGGGGUAGAAUUCCAGGUGUAGCGGUGAAAUGCGUAGAGAUCUGGAGGAAUACCGGUGGC